rnacentral:rRNA from 1 species
GACAGAGGUGCCAAGCGUUAGGCGGAAUCACUGGGCUUAAAGCGUGUGUAGGCGGAAUGGUAAGUACCUUGUGAAAUCCCACGGCUCAACCGUGGAACUGCUGGGUAUACUGCCCUUCUUGAGCCACUUAGGGGCUGUCGGAACAAACGGUGGAGCGGUGAAAUGCGUAGAUAUCGUUUGGAACGCCAAUGGUGAAAAACAGACAGCUGGGAGUGUGCUGACGCUGAGACACGAAAAGCCAGGGG